AUCGCCGGAUCAGGAACAUGACGUGUGUCCAUUUUAUCUGAAAUAAGUGGUGAAAGGCACCCAACUAGUUCCCAGCCACGAACAAUCAGGUCGUAGACCAGAAUGCAGUACCUCGAUCCAUGAUCGAACGUGAACGGCGAAUUAAAUACUUCAAUCACUACUGGAGGGGCACUUUCCCAAUCUUGCAAUAAUGUUGCAUAGGCAUCCCUACUCAUAAGCGAGAAAUCUCUGGUAUCAUCAAGUGGCACUGCGAAAACCAUCGGUCUAAUCCUGGUGCUGAUCACACGAAGAUGAAGUUCUCCAGACCGAUACAAGGAGAGUAACCUUUCUAUUCUCACUAUUUUGUACUGAUUUUGGAUAACGUUGUUUUGCACAGGUAGAUCAAGUGUGUACUUCAAAUCAAUCGCUUGCCGAAGAGGUUGACAUUUUUCUUUGAAGAUGAGUUCUUGGAUAUGUAAAGGGUUUUCAAAUAGAAGUUGUAAUCGGUCCGAGAUGGAUGGUAUUUUAACAGGGCAACAAUUGGUGUCUUGCAUCCUCGAUGUCUUGAUUUGGAAUACGAAGACGAUUGACGAACUCUGGCGAACGAUAAAGAAGAAAGUCCAGACUCGUGGAUGAAGUCAAGUUUGCGGAACGGAAACCCUUGGAAGACUGACACAAGACGAGACGGUCAUCACAAAUGGAAAGAGAACCCCAGGGGUUUCUCAAACGUUGCAGCAUUGACGAUUGUUAGUGUAUAUCGUCCAAACGUUUAGUUGGAAGCGAUGGCUGAAGGUGAUAAGUUGUUGGAAAAUUGAGCAGUUACCCUUAUCGGUGUAUUUCAGCAUAUGUUGUCGAUCGUUUACUUGAAUCCAUCACACAAGUCGAAUUCUUCAGUCCAUUAAGGUUAGAAAAUGGAAAAUCAGUCGAGAGGAGGAGGGCGUGGUGCAAUGGCAUAUCGAGCACCUCGAGGAGAGACUACACUUCGUAAACAAGUGGGCAGUGGCCGCUUAUCGCUGGGUGCAAUCCCCAAAAAUAGCGAAUCGCCAAUAACUGAAUCAUGGAGAAGGGCAUCUCCUACAGUCUACCAAUACCAAAAAGGAUAUCGAGGGCGAGGAUUUCAUGUACCAAACUCAAUGCCACAUCAAAAGCAAGGCAGUCAUCGAACUUUGGAUUUUGAAUACAUCAUGAAGUUGGCAAGGGACAAUGCACAACCAUCGGAAGUGAUACGUUGUCUCGGCGAUCCCGAAAAUGAUUUAGCUCUCCAACUUCAAGAAAAUUUGAGCAAUGUCGACUAUUUGGAAAUUAUUAUAGUCGC